rnacentral:rRNA from 1 species
UACGUAGGUGGCAAGCGUUGUCCGGAUUUACUGGGCGUAAAGAGCGCGCAGGCGGUUGGAUAAGUCGAAUGUGAAAGCCCCCGGCUUAACUGGGGAGGGUCAUUCGAUACUGUUCAACUUGAAGGCAGGAGAGGGCAGCAGAAUUCCCGGUGUAGUGGUGAAAUGCGCAGAUAUCAGGAGGAACACCGGUGGCGAAGGCGGAUCUCUGGGCCAUUACUGACGCUGAGGAGCGAAAGCGUGGGGAGCGAACAGG